CCUACGGGUGGCAGCAGUGAGGAAUAUUGGUCAAUGGACGAGAGUCUGAACCAGCCAAGUAGCGUGAAGGAUGACUGCCCUAUGGGUUGUAAACUUCUUUUAUAAAGGAAUAAAACGAGGCACGUGUGCCUUUUUGCAUGUACUUUAUGAAUAAGGAUCGGCUAACUCCGUGCCAGCAGCCGCGGUAAUACGGAGGGUCCGAGCGUUAUCCGGAUUUAUUGGGUUUAAAGGGAGCGUAGAUGGGUUGUUAAGUCAGUUGUGAAAGUUUGCGGCUCAAACGUAAAAUUGCAAUUGAUAGUGGCAGGCUUGGUUACAGUUGAGGUAGACGGAAUUCCUGGUGUAGCGGUGAAAUGCUUUGAUAUCACGAAGAAACCCGAUUGCGAAGGCAGCUUACUAAGCUGUGACUGACAUUGAUGCUCGGAAGUGUGGGUAUGAAACAGGAUUAGGUACCCCGGUAGUC
rnacentral:rRNA from 1 species